UACGGGGGGGGUAAGCGUUGUUCGGAAUUAUUGGGCGUAAAGAGCUCGUAGGCGGUUUGUCGCGUCUGCUGUGAAAACUCAGGGCUUAACUCUGAGCUUGCAGUGGGUACGGGCAGACUAGAGUGCGGUAGGGGAGACUGGAAUUCCUGGUGUAGCGGUGAAAUGCGCAGAUAUCAGGAGGAACACCGGUGGCGAAGGCGGGUCUCUGGGCCCGUAACUGACGC
rnacentral:rRNA from 1 species